rnacentral:rRNA from 1 species
GACGAACGCUGGCGGCGCGCUUAACACAUGCAAGUCGAGCGAGAACCUAGGCUUCGGCCUAGGGGACAGCGGCGAACGGGUGAGUAACACGUGGGUAAUCUGCCCUCGACAUCGGGAUAGCCCGGGGAAACCCGGAUUAAUACCGAAUGGCCCAUCCGCUUUUCGGAGCGGCUAGGAAAAAGGUAGCUUCGGCCCUCCGGUCGAGGAGGAGCCCGCGGCGGAUUAGCUUGUUGGUGAGUAAUGGCCCACCAAGGCGACGAUCCGUAGCUGGUCUGAGAGGACGAUCAGCCACACUGGGACUGAGACACGGCCCAGACUCCUAC